GGGGUGCAGCAGGCGCGAAACCUUUACAAUGCACGCAAGUGUGAUAAGGGAAUCCUAAGUGCNUAUNUUUUACAUAGGCUUUUGCCAAAGGUAAAUACUUUGGCGAAUAAGUGGUGGGUAAGNCUGGUGCCAGCCGCCGCGGUAACCCCAGCNCCACAAGUGGGGAUCGAUUUUAUUGGGUCUAAAGCGUUCGUAGCAGGUUCUGUAAAUUUCUUGUGAAAGUGGUAUGCUUAACGUACCACAUUGCAGGAAACACUGCAGAACUAGGAAUUGGGAGGCGUAAACAGUAUUCUCGGGGGAGCGGUAAAAUGUUAUAAUCCCGAGAGGACUACCUGUGCCGAAGGGGGUUUACGAAUACAAAUUCGACUGUGAGGGACGAAAGCUAGGGGAGCAANNCGGAUUAGAUACCCGUGUAGUCCUANCCGUAAACUCUCUGAGNUA
rnacentral:rRNA from 1 species